CCGUGAGAACAUCAAAUCAUUUUCGUUCACAUCUUAUACGAGAUGUAAAGAAUGUAAUUAAAAAGUUUCAUAAGAAAGGAUGGGGAAUACUUUGUACACAUUAGAAGACGAAAAAAGCUACCAGAUCCAAAAUAGUUUCAAGUUGGAAAACAGCCAGAGGCCUUACCUUGAAGUGCAAAAAAAGGUUGACUGAACUUUCUACAUCUUUACACGACAACAGACGAGUGUCUUCCAUUGCGAUAACAGCUCAAAGGCUGUUCUCGAGAUUUUUCAAAAAAUGCCGAGCUUCAGACGCCAUCACUAAAGAGAAUGCAUGACUUCAUAGCGCCAUUUUUAAAAGCAAAGAAUUCUCUGUGUUCAAUCCAUAAUGUCGCUGUCUAAGCAUAAAAGUCGGAGAACGAAGUUCACGAAA